CUUCUCCCAUGGCCUUUCGGCUUCAUCCUCUCUUGUAGAUCUGAGUUUUUACCAUUCUCUCAUUGUUUUUUCAAGUUUUCAAGUUUCCAUUCGCUUGGAUCCCCUCUUUGCGAUCUAUUACAUCCUUCGUCACCGGUGGUUCGGCCUACACUAAUCCAUCAUCAAGCCAAUUCUAGCUUCAUCCGUCAAGUUGGUUCUUGUGUGUUGUAUUGUGCAUACUAUAUUGCAGGGGCUGACCCGAGUGACACAAUUUUGCAUGAUGAAAGCACGUGGUAGGAUUCACAGUUUUCCUCAUCGUAGUAGGAGCAAUGUGAGGAAAUAUGCAAUGGGUGGAGUUGAGCGACAAGAUCGCGAGGUUGGUUGGCAAUGAUGAGUACAAGAGUUAUGACAAUACAUAGAGCCACAGAGAUGAAGCUGAGCAACUGCAGCCACUUCAACGCGGUAACAACAUGUUUUGCAGGAACUUUUACAAGAUUUUGGUGUGUACUUUAAUUAAUAUCUUCCUAUUUGUUUUGAUCUACUAGCACUUGCAGGUUUAUGGUGGAUUUUGCAUGUUGUUUUCCUUAUGUAUAGCAAGUUGUACAACAUGUAAACUGUUUGUACUUCAU